rnacentral:rRNA from 1 species
ACGCUCGACACCUACGGGAGCAGCAGUGGGGAAUAUUGCACAAUGGGGGAAACCCUGAUGCAGCGACGCCGCGUGAGCGAAGAAGUAUUUCGGUAUGUAAAGCUCUAUCAGCAGGGAAGAAAAUGACGGUACCUGACUAAGAAGCCCCGGCUAACUACGUGCCAGCAGCCGACGGUAAUCUGAGGCGGGCUGGCGAAGGC